rnacentral:rRNA from 1 species
GCUCCCUUUGGAACGCAGGUCGUCUUUCAUAUUUUCACCAGUGCACCCAAUGUAGGAUGCCUCUCCUGUUUGGGAGGGGGGACCUAUCUAUGUCUUCACAGACGCCCUCAGUUUAGAAAGUAUUAGAAUGUUUACGAUCGUCGAGCCGCGACUUCCAGGAGACGCGGGUCGGCGAGACAAAAAGUUAUUACAACUUUCAGCAAUGGAUCUCUUGGCUCUCGCAUCGAUGAAGAACGCAGCGAAUUGCGAUAUGUAAUGUGAAUUGCAGAUCUACAGUGAAUCAUCGAAUCUUUGAACGCACAUUGCGCUCCUUGGUGUUCCGAGGAGCAUGCCUGUUUGAGUGUCAGUAAAUUCUCAACCCCCCUCGAUUUGCUUCGAGAGGGAGCUUGGAUAGUGGGGGCUGCCGGAGACCUGGACUUGCGUCCGGGACUCGGGCNCUNNUGAAAUGCAUCGGCUUGCGAUCGACCUUUGACUUUGCGUGACCAGGCUUUCGGCGUGAUAAUGAUCGCCGUCNUUCGAAGCGCAUGAAUGAGGGUCUCG